ensembl:lncRNA
UGUUCCCCUGUUACUUUACUUGCAGUAGUUUCUUUACUUGUUCCCUGUGUUACUUUACUUGCAUUACUUUCUUUACUUGCAUUACUUUCUUUACUUGUUCCGUACUUUACUUUGCAUUACUUAUUCCCUGUUACUCUUACUUGCAUUCCUUGUUCCCUGUGUUUACUUGCAUUACUUUCUUUACUUGUUCCCUGUGUUACUUUACUUGCAGUACUUUCUUAACUUGUUCCUGUACUUGUAUUACGUACUCCUUUCUUUACAUUAUUAACUUGCCUUACUUGUUACCUACUUUGUAUAUUUUCAGUCAGUGUAAAAACUAAUUUGUAUCCUGUUUUCCUCUAUUACAUCAGUUCCCUUCUUUUCCUUGUUAACACACCCCAGACACUUAAUCAGGGUUGCAUGUACACCAAAAAUCAAAGACGUACUUUCUGUACGUACUUAUUACCAAUUGUACCUUCUAGCGCUUACUUUACUUGUUAGUUUUUCACGUAAAGAAAAAGCUUCUUUACUUGUUCCCCAUGUUACUUGUUCCCUGUUACUUUACUUGUUCCCUGUUACUUUACUUGCUUUACUUUCUUUACUUGUUCCUGUUACUUUACUUGCUUUACUUUCUUUACUUGUUCCCUGUUACUUUACUUGCAUUACUUUCUUUACUUGUUCUGUUACUUACUUGCAUUACUUUCUUUACUUGUUCUGUUACUUUACUGCAGUACUUUCUUUACUUGUUCUGUUACUUUACUUGCAGUACUUUCUUUACUUGUUCCCUGUGUUACUUUACUUGCAGUACUUUCUUUACUUGUUCCCUGUGUUACUUUACUUGCAUUACUUUCUUUACUUGUUCCUACUUACUUUACUUGCAUAGUUUUCUUUACUUGUUCCCUGUUACUUUACUUGUUCCCUGUUACUUUACUUGCAUUACUUUCUUUACUUGUUCCCUGUGUUACUUUACUUGCAUUACUUUCUUUACUUGUUCCCUGUGUUACUUUACUUGCAUUACUUUCUUUACUUGUUCCCUGUGUUACUUGCAUUACUUUCUUUUUUGUUCCCUGUGUUACUUUACUUGUUCCCUGUUACUUUACUUGCAGUACUUACUUUACUUGCAGUACUUACUUUACUUGUUCCCUGUGUUACUUUACUUGCAGUACUUACUUUACUUGUUCCCU